CACUAAACCAACACAACUGAUUGAACAUCAAAUGAAUAUACAAAUAUUUAUAUCGGUGUCCAAUUUUAUAUUUUGGCUUGACCCCAAGUAGGUUAUCCUAACAGACAAUACUAGGUUUCAUUAUUUUCACAAAGAAAAGAGAAGGUUGUACGGCAGCAGGGGCUCGAGGGAUGGUGGUCGACAACGGCAGGGGACUCGGGGCUGGGAUCGACGGCAACAACUGGUUGCUCGGGGGCUGGGCUCGACGGCGGGUGAGGGGGGGGGGGGGUCUCGGGUAUGGGCUCGAUGGCGCAGGGGGGUCGAGGUCAGGGUGUACAGCGGCAGGGGCUCGGGGCUAGGCUCGACGGCAACGAAUGGUGGCUCGGGGGCUGGGCUUGACGGCGGGUGGGGGGGUCUCGAGUCUGGGGUCGAUGGCGCAGGGGGUCGGGGUCAGGCUGUACGGCGGCAGGAGAAUAUUCAUAGUCGUGUAUACUUUGAUUUUACACAUAGAUACCGAAGAUUAAAAGAAUAUUCUCACUUUUAUUCCACUGGUGCCAGCUUGUGUGGUAAGUUCUAGCUUAUACUUGCUCUUAACAUGUUUUCACUUUUAUUCCACUGGUGCCAGCUUGUGUGGUAAGUUAUAGCUUAUACUUGCUCUUAACAUGUUUUCAUGGUUUCAUGUGAAUGCAAUAAUCUGAUUUCUUACAAGUAUUAAUAAAUAAAAGCUUUAUUAUUUACAUGUUAAUUUUAUUUUUAGACCCAAAUAACAUGCAUUCUAUUUUUGGCCCAUUAAUUUGAAGAUAUCCCAGAUUUGAAACCCGUUCUUUGUUUUUGUCAUAGCUUGAACAGUCUCUAUUACAAAUUAAUGGACAAAACUGAAUCAACAGGAAAAAAAACCUGAUUAUUUAUUUAUAGAAAGAGGAGAUGGUGGUGGCAAGUCACGAGGCUCUGCCCUCAAUUAGGUAGCUUGCAAGUCACAAGGACUGAGGUGAUGGUGUGCUCUUCAAUGAACUCAUUUUUUAUUUUAUUUUGUAAUUAUAAUUGAAAGUGGCUAAUAAAGAUAUUCAUAUAAAAAAAUUAGGUGGCCUGAUUAUACAAUCUAUAUAUAUAUAGUCGAUAUCCUCGUUUAUCCUUUUCCCUAGCUGCACAUUUUGUUAUAUUAUCCCUAAAUAAAUAAAAACAAAAGAACAAAAAAAAUAUAGAGAACAAAUCAGCCUUCAAGCUUGUCAUAUAUGUAGUUUGGUAUUCAUAUAUAAUAUCAUAGUCAGUUAUAUAUAAGAAUUAAUUAUGUGUGUUAUUAUAUUGUAAUUGAAAAAUGAAGGAUAACCCUCAAAGUCGCAAUCACUUUGGUAAAGCUUUCUUAUUUAUUCAUUUCUUGAGCAGCACAAAGAAGAGUUGAAGAAAACUUGAUUUGAGAUAUGGUAGGGCACUUAUUGGACAUGUGAUUGAAAUAUGGAACAUUAUUUAUAUUUAUCAUCACUCUAGCUACAACAUAUAUAAUAUAUAGAUAGUUGGUGGUGACUCUUCUACAUGCACAUAAAUAUUAUAAAGAUUGUAGGUAUAAAUAUAUGUAUAUAUAUAUUUAUAUUAGUUUUUUGUCAAAAUGUAAUCCAUCUUUGCAUUUUGAAAAUAGCAUAAACUAAGUUAUGAUGCAGUUUUCUAUGUAUUUUAGGUGGACAAGCUAAGCAUUUGACUCAACCCAAGGCUGAGAAGAAAGAGUAAGAUGAGCAUUUGGUUUUUCUCUUCUUUGCAUUAUUAUUUAAUGAUUUAAUUUAGAUUUGACUUACUUUCAUUAUAUUAUAACAUUGUAAAUGUGUGUAUGUGCUGAGACAGACUUCAAAGAAACUAUUUUGCAACAGUUUGCAAGAGGUAUGCCUCUAACUUUUAUUUUAAUACUAUGCAAAUGUUAGAGGAGUUUGAAUAUCUUAAAUAUUCAUCCAUAGUGAAGUAGGUUCUGAGAUUGUUACUGUGUGCUGCGGUGAUAACGGAAGGUUGAGAACUUGUGUGUUUUAGUGAAGUAGGAUCUGAGAAAUUUGUGUGCUGCGGAGAUAAGAAAGAAAACUUGUGUGUUGUUUGAAUUGAUGUAGACUUGUCUAUGAUCAUCCUAUAAUUGAAUUGUGUUUGUUUGAUUGGUUUGAUUAUAACAUAUACUUGUAUGAAUGUACAUAUUGCGUGUUGGCAUACGCAUAUAACAUAACCUUUUGUAUUUCUUGUUAUGUAUAUGUUAGUUUUCUUCUUGUCCCUUGUCUAAUGUCUUUGGUGAGGUGAUUUAUAACAUUGAGCAUCACUUUUGGUUCUUGUGAUCACAUGUAGGUUCAAUAGUAUAAAGUGCUAUACAAAAGUUUGACGUUAUUAGCAUAUUGGUUGAUAAUUCAUGAUUUCUUUUUUUGCACCAGAACUACUAUCUCAAUUUGUGUUUAUUUUAAUUGAAGCAUAGCUUUAUGUUUCAUUGUAGUCUAAUAGUUUGAUCAUUUUCUUACUUAAAUAAUAUCUAAGUUAUUUUUUUUCUUCCAAACUGUAAUUGUUUUCACCAUGUUCGAUGGCCUUAGCUGAAACAAUGUAUUCUUUAAACAAUUGAAAAUUUUCUAAAAAAAUCAAUUGGUGAGUUUUGGGUUCAAUCAAUUGAGACAUAGGAUAUAUAUUUAUAUAUUUACUCGAUGAUUUCCUUUUCUGCACUAGAACUACUAUUUCAAUUUGUGUUUAUUUUAAUUGAAGCAUAGCUUUAUGUUUCUUUGUAUUCUAAUAGUUUGAUCAUUUUCUUAUUUAAAUAAUAUCUAAGUUAUUUGUUUUCUUCCAAACUGUGAUUGUUUUUACCAUGUUCGAUGGCUUUAGCUGAAACAAUGUAUUCUUUAAACAAUUGAAAGUUUUCUAAAAAAAUCAAUUGGUGAGUUUUGGGUUCAAUCAAUUGAGACAUAGGAUAUAUAUUUAUAUAUUUACUCGAUGAUUUCCUUUUCUGCACCAGAAUUACUAUCUCAAUUUGUGUUUAUUUUAAUUGAAGCAUAGCUUUGUGUUUCAUUGUAGUCUAAUAGUUUGAUCAUUUUCUUACUUAAAUAAUAUCUAAGUUAUUUUUUUCUUCCAAACUGUGAUUGUUUUUACCAUGUUUGAUGGCCUUAGUUGAAACAAUGUAUUCUUUAAACAAUUGAAAAUUUUCUAAAAUGGAUUGAUUAUCACUUUGUUAAAAAUGUUGCGCUUGCAUAGAAUUCAUAAUUAUAUGGCUAUUUAUUAAAAGAAAUAUAUAUGCUUGACCAAAAGAAAUUAUGAUAUUCUAUUUUGCGUAGACUUUCAAAUGUGAAUUAGAUUAUAAAUUUGGAUUAGGCUUAUUCACAACUCGUUGUGUUACUUUAACAACUUUGUCUGGUAUGCUCGUUGUGUUACUUUAAUAACUUUAACAAAUGUCACCUGGUAUGCUUGUGUUACAUAUUAAUGAUCUAUUAUAUUUAUGUUCUUGGUGCUCUUAUUUAUAACUAUAUUAUCUUUUCUUUUCUUGCUAAGUACUAUGGACUUAGAAUCUUAUGCAUAUUACCUACACAGUGCAUGUCUUUAUAUGUGUAUAUAUGUAUAUUAAUUUCUCGAUGUUUAUUGUAUAUUUGCUAAUGUGCUAUGAAUGAUUGGUAAUUUGGUUUAUUAAUGUCUAUGUGAUUUCAUAAACUAACUAGCUUGAGCACUUUUAAAUUGAGACUGACAGGUAUGCAUUCCUUAGUUUAAAGAAUUAAGACUAACUACUUAAGCCAUGAGGCUAUCCAAUUUGAUACGAAAAAUACAACUUUUAUAUAAAUUAUUUUUGUGAAUGAAAACCACAAUCAUCCUUUUUAUUUAUUCUGCAACCUUAAGUUCUCUAUUUAUUUUAGUUUUGGUUUAACUUUAAUGGUGUUUAUUCUGUAUUGUAGGCUAAAACUCUACUUGGAUAUUUAAGAGAACCAAGACAAUUAUAUAAGAGAACGAAGGCAACACCAAAUUCUUCUUCAAGUUGUUGGGUAUUAUUUUCUUUCUUGCUUGUAAGAAUUAUGUACAAUUAUGUACAGUGAGGAUUUGAUGUAUUAUUUACAUCGAGAAUAAUGAAUUUUUAUUGAGAAUUAUAAUGAAUUUUCAUUGAGACUUAUUUAGUCUCAUGGGGA